CACGUAAGGGGCAAGCGUUGUUCGGAAUUAUUGGGCGUAAAGGGUACGUAGGCGGUUUGGUAAGCCCGGCGUGAAAUCCUGCAGCUUAACUGUAGAGCUGCGCUGGGAACUGCGAAACUUGAGUCAUGGAAGGGGAGUUAGAAUUCCAGGUGUAGGGGUGAAAUCUGUAGAUAUCUGGAAGAAUACCGGUGGCGAAGGCGAACUCCUGGCCAAUGACUGACGCUGAGGUACGAAAGUGCGGGGAGCAAACAGGAUUAGAUACCCUGGUAGUCCGCACCGUAAACUAUGUGCACUAGGUGUUGGGCCGAGCGGUUCAGUGCCGAAGCUAACGUGAUAAGUGCACCGCCUGGGGAGUAUGCCCGCAAGGGUGAA
rnacentral:rRNA from 1 species